rnacentral:rRNA from 1 species
CUCCAGUUGGAUGCAUGUCCUUCUGGGAAAGAUUCAUCGGUAUGGGAUGGGGUCGCGUCCUAUCAGCUUGAUGGCGGGGUAACGGCCCACCAUGGCUUCGACGGGUAGCCGGCCUGAGAGGGCGACCGGCCACAUUGGGACUGAGAUACGGCCCAGACUCCUACGGGAGGCAGCAGUGGGGAAUAUUGCACAAUGGGCGCAAGCCUGAUGCAGCGACGCCGCGUGCGGGAUGACGGCCUUCGGGUUGUAAACCGCUUUUGACUGGGAGCAAGCCCUUCGGGGUGAGUGUACCUUUCGAAUAAGCACCGGCUAACUACGUGCCAGCAGCCGCGGUAAUACGUAGGGUGCAAGCGUUAUCCGGAAUUAUUGGGCGUAAAGGGCUCGUAGGCGGUUCGUCGCGUCCGGUGUGAAAGUCCAUCGCUUAACGGUGGAUCCGCGCCGGGUACGGGCGG